rnacentral:lncRNA from 1 species
CGAAAGCCCUCAUUUUAUAAGAAGAAGAAACUAGAACCAAAAUACUUCAUUACAUGCAUCCCAAACUUCGAACCCGUGCAUUCCCACUUGGAUUAAUCGAAAGAAACAUGAUUUCUCCCUUACUCUCGAGGAUUUACAUCUCGUCCUGCUUGAUCAUUAAGUCACGCUCCAAUGCCACUUGUCAAGCUUGUCAAUGUCGUUCCCAUGAUUCCUUAUGCCAAUCUUCAUAUCAUCACAAGUCCUAGUGCCUAGAGGAACAAGAAAUGGUGGAGAUUCCAAUAUUGAAAAUUUGGACUCUGAAUAAUAGGGCGUGUCUUGAUU